GGCUGGGGAGGAUUUACGGCUCUAAAGCCUUCCAUAUAACGCUUUAACGGUGGGCAGAGCGGUUUCUGUUGCGUCCCGUCCUGUACUUUUCGCACCCACCUGUGAGAUAGGCGUUAAGCGUUAUGCACGCUUUAUAGAUGUAGAAAGUGAAGUACGGUUAAGGAGGCGGUGUGAAGUGUCAAAGCUAUGAAAUGUAGAACUGCAUUAGCCUUGGCUAAUUCCACGUCAUAUAUUCUUGCCACUACACCACAGCUACCCACCAUUUUGGGGAUGGGAAACUGAUAGCUGGGGUCUACGAGAAAACAGUCUCGGAGCUAAAAAUGAAUGGGAAUAAUCCACAUGAGAGUUGCUCCUUCUGCCUGGGCCUGGGAAUGAGAAGACCUGUGGAGCUGAGCUACUGCUUACCCACAACCUGCAUAUACAUAAAUCAGAAGCCAGCACUGGUUGUUGUGAGUCGCUUAGAUUUUGGGCUUGAUGAAGAUGACCUUAGGCACAGUGACCCUGAAGGCCACAUGUUAAAGACAGUGGAGCCACAGGAUGGAAGGAAGCUGGUUCCCUGAAUCAUCACGUGGCAGAGAGCGGACCACUAAUCAGGAUCAUGUGUUUCAGAUUUCACUUGACCAAUAAAUCAAUUUCAAUUUUGUUACACUG
rnacentral:lncRNA from 1 species